CUUGAUACUACACAGCCUGCCUCUCAGAGUCCCUGGUUGUUCACUCUGUUCCCGAGUGCACAUCCUGUGUGGCCCCAGGUGGCAUUUGGUGACCUCCUCCCCCAGGCUAAAGGGAGAUUAGGACACAGACAUGCACAGCGGGAAGACCACAUGAGGACACAGGGAGAAGACGGCCAUCUCAAAGCCGCGGAGAGAGGCCUCAGAAGAAACCAACCCUGCCAAUGCCUUGACUUCAGACUUCUAGCCUCCAGAAUGAACCUUAGGAAGAGGAGGAAGCAGCUUUGGUUGGAUAUAGUGAUCCUCGUGCUGAAGAGGACCCGCCACGGGCUUCAAGGUCUUACUUGGAAGAGGUUGUGGCAAUUUAUAAUUAUACAAAAGACAAGGAAGAUGAGCUAUCCUUUCAGGAAGAGCCAUUAUUUAUGUCAUCCAAAAGAAAACGAUGGUUGAUAUGAGGGAGUUCUGAUGCAGUGACUAGGCUCUUUCCUGCGAAUUAUGCUGAGUCUGUCAUGCAUUGUCCUGAGUAAAGCUCAGCAGGGGAUAAUCGGGUCUUCCAAGAUUGUUAAAAGGCCCUGGGGAUUCCCCCCCCCUGGUGAAAUGAAUGAAAGACACGAAUGAUGAAAACUACUUUUUUUUUUGGUUUAUCCCCCUGUAUCAAAACAAACAAAAAAGCAAGCGGAGUCUGAACAAAUGGAUCUUUCUGCCAUCAUUUGCACUGUGCUGAGCUGUCUGAAUUGAUAUAAAGUGAUGAUUUCUAAAUAUGUAAAAAAAAUACAUACAGCAGAUUUCAUGGAAAACAAACAUAAUGCACAUGUACAAAUAUACGUACAGCAUACAAGCAGAUAGUGUAUCUGUGGUGCUAAGAUGCCAAUCCUGAUCGUGCACGUCCACAGGUCGAUCAUCACCGCCCGCUUGCAAGGCAAUCACGUUUUUGUGACACCGAGUCAUCAUUAUCUAAUCUGUGGACAGCAAUAUGGUACUGAUGCUCUAGGAAGAACUUGGAAGUGGAGCCUGGGUGUCAGGGCCAGAUGACUGGGCUUUCCCGAGCUGGUCCUGUCAGCUUCUCAUUUCUUGCCUUCGCCCAAAAGCCAAGCACACACUCACAAGGCCUUCGCACUCACAGUUCCCUCUGCCUAUAAAGCUCUCUGCCAGAGCAGGGCUCACUUGCUCAUUUGCUCCAGGGCCCUGCUCACAAUUCACGUCCUCAGAAUGCACGCCCAGCCGGUCCCCACUCUCAACCCUUUACUCUAUUUUUUUCUUUGCUUGUUUUCACUUAUGAUGCCUAUCACCACCUGGCAUUAUAUUAGAGCCCUCCCUCCUAUCCGUGAGGGAUUGGUUCCAGGACUCAGCUGCCCAGAUACCAAAAUCCCUGGAUGCUCAAGUCUCUUAUAAAAUGGCCCAUCCUCUGGAGUGCUUUAUAUCAUCUCUGGAUUACUGAUAUACCUGAUACAGUGUAAAGGCUAUGUAAGUAGUUGUUAUACUGUAUUGUUUAGGGUACAAUGACAAGGAGAAAAGUCUGUACGUGUUCAGUACAGACACAACCAUCGCAGGCCUUCCCAUCGACGUUGGUUGAAUAUGGAUGCAGAUCCUAUGGAUACGAAGGGCUGACUGUAUUAUCUAUUUGGUUUUUUUGUUUAUUGUUUAUUUCCCUCAUGGGGCCGUAAACUUCAUAGGAUGGGGCUUUUGUUUACUACUGUCCCUCCAAAAUAGGGACUCGAUAUUUGUUGACUGUGUAAUGGAGACAUGAAUAAAUACUGGAGGCUGGGUUUGAUUCUUGGC
rnacentral:lncRNA from 1 species